CAAAUUAGAGCUUGAAUUUAAAGUAUUUCAUUUACAUUGAAAAGAUAUUAAUAAUUGAUUAAUUUGA
rnacentral:tRNA from 1 species